rnacentral:rRNA from 1 species
CCGGUUGAUCCUGCCGGACCCCACUGCUACCGGGAUAGGACUAAGACAUGCUAGUCGCGUGCCUCAGCCAAAACGAGGCACGGCACACAGCUCAGUAACACGUGGCUAAUCUGCCCUUGGGAUAGGAAUACCCCCGGGAAACUGGGACUAAUUCCCAAUAGGUGAAGAACUCUGGAAUGAGUCUCCACCAGAAAAGAGCUUACGUUAUGCUCGUAAGUUUCGCCCAAGGAUGAGGCCGCGACCGAUCAGGUUGUUGGCGAGGUAAUGGCUCACCAAGCCUUUUACCGGUGCGGGCCGUGGGAGCGGGAGCCCGGAGAUGGGUACUGAGACAAGGACCCAGGCCCUACGGGGCGCAGCAGUCGCGAAAACUUUGCAAUAAGCGCAAGCUUGACAGGGCUAUCCCGAGCGCCAUCCGCUGAGGAAGGCUUUUACCCAGUCUAGAACGCUGGGGGAAUAAGGAGAGGGCAAGUCUGGUGUCAGCCGCCGCGGUAAUACCAGCUCUCCGAGUGGUGUGGAUGUUUAUUGGGCCUAAAGCAUCCGUAGCUGGCUAAGUUAGUCCCCUGUUAAAUCCACUGAAUUAAUCGUUGGAUCGCGGGGGAUACUGCUUGGCUAGGGGACGAGAGAGGCAGACGGUAUUUUCGGGGUAGGGGUGAAAUCCUAUAAUCCCGGGAAGACCACCAGUGGCGAAGGCUGUCUGCUAGAACGCGCCCGACGGUGAGGGAUGAAAGCUGGGGGAGCGAACCGGAUUAGAUACCCGGGUAGUCCCAGCUGUAAACGAUGCAGGCUAGGUGUUUGGACGGCCACGUGCCGUUCUAGUGCCGCAGGGAAGCUGUUAAGCCUGCCGCCUGGGGAGUACGAUCGC